AAGGGCCUUAAGAUUGUUUAAUUCAAACAAGGGAAGGAAAGGUAGAAAAAAGGCUAUGUGGGUAAUAGUAAAGGCUCCUCGACAACAAGAUGCCAAACAAUGUGGUUACUAUGUGAUGCGAUUUAUGAGACAAAUUGUUGAAGAAGUUGAAAUUAUCGAAAGAGAUUCACUACGAUCUAUAUUCACACAAGCAGAGUAUUCUCGAGAAGAAAUUGAUGAGGUGCGAUCGGAGUUGGCAGAAUGUAUACAAGAUCAUAUUUAUGAGUAGGUGCGUUCAAGUUUAUGUAAGUUCAUUACCUUGUUUUAGCUAAGGUUUAUGUAAUUAAGUUCAUUAUCUUUAGCAAGAAGCAACUUUUUGCUUCUUUAGAAUCCAUUUUCAGCUAUGAGAUGCAAUCUACCCUUGUUUGUUAUUCUCAGUUUAAUCUGUGAUAAAGAGUCUUCUUGGUCAUUAACUGAAUUAUAUAAACUGAAUGCAUUUUAGAAUGGAGAAAUACUGAGAUGUGCUCCCUGAGCUUCUAAUUUUGACAAUUGUUUGCUAAAUUUUUUAUAUCAGUUGUAGCCAUAUGAUAGUCCACUUGCUCAAUUCUUCUGUUAUUUCAAUAAC